UAUUCCCCACUGCUGCCUCCCGUAGGAGUCUGGGCCGUAUCUCAGUCCCAAUGUGGCCGUUUAACCUCUCAGUCCGGCUACUGAUCAUCGUCUUGGUAGGCCGUUACCCCACCAACUAACUAAUCAGACGCAAGCCCAUCUAUUAGCGAAUUGCUCCUUUUCUGACUACAUCAUGCGAUGUUUCCAGCUUAUACGGUAUUAGCAAUGAUUUCUCACUGUUAUUCCCUACUAAUAGGCAGGUUGCUUACGCGUUACUCACCAGUCCGCCACUAACCGCUUCCAUUAGUAAACUAACGAAUUAAGUCCGUUCGACUUGCAUGUCUUAUGUGCGCCGUCAGCGUUCAUCCUGAGCCAA
rnacentral:rRNA from 1 species